UACGAAGGGGGCUAGCGUUGCUCGGAAUCACUGGGCGUAAAGCGCACGUAGGCGGAUCGUAUGACGUGAGGGAAAUCCUGGAGCUCAACUCCAGAACUGCCUUCGAUACUGGCGAUGUCUGAGUCCGGGAGAGGUGAGUGGAACUGCGAGUGUAGAGGUGAAAUUCGUAGAUAUUCGCAAGAACACCAGUGGCGAAGGCGGCUCACUGGCCCGGUACUGACGCUGAGGUGCGAAAGCGUGGGGAGCAAACAGG
rnacentral:rRNA from 1 species